UCUCAAGAAUGCCACCGCCUUAUUUUCUUUUUCUCCGGCGACCUCGCUUCGCUAAUUCGCUCGUCCCGGUUCCCUCCUCCAGAUUGCUUUUUGUUUCUAACCGAUGAUCACCAAGAAUGGAGGAUUCCCUUUUCAAAUCUGGCUCUCUGGCACAGGGGCGACGCUCGGAUCGUUUCAGUCUUUGUAAUCUUACACGCUGGGGUUUUCAUAGCUACCAUGCUCCUCAAUGGAGGACUCCUUUUUAGUUUGCUCGUCCCGGGUCCCUCCUUCAGAUUGCUCCGAGAAAAAAAUGUCAGUAAAAUUAAAUUUGGAGGAGGAGAGGGCAAGGGCGAAUGGAGGUCGAGGACAGAGUAGUGUGAAGGCGAUGCUACCUGACGACAAUAAAAUUUGGAGGUUAGUGAGGACAAAACAAGCGAAGAAUGCCCUGGUGUCAUCUCCUGUGCUGAUAUUGUAGCCAUUGUUGCUCGUGACUCUAUUGUUCUUUUAUAUUGAAGCUUGGAGGACUUGCCUGGAAAGUAAAGCUGGAAAGAAGAGAUUCAAAGACAGCAUCUAGCUUGGCUGCUGCAAACAUUAAAUCUCCUUUUUCUUCACUCAGCACUCUCAUCUCCAACAUUAAAUCUCACGGCCUCUCUGCUAGGGGACAUGGUUGCCUUAUCUGAUCUUGAUAUUGAUGUUGAGCAUAUCUUGAAGGAUUGCAUGUUUGGUUGUUUGAGAUCACACCUUCAACUUUAAGUGCUUGAAGCACUUUAAAUUAGAGCUUGAGUCUCUUCAGUGAACAAGCUAACCUGAGCCUAUGUAAGAACCGAUUGGUAUCAUUGAAGGGCAAGCUAACUUGGAUGCACAAUUUAAUGGAAUAGCUCAAGAGGUAUGGACAGAGAAAAACACCUAAAGGCUUAGAAACGCGAUCCUUUUAUAGUAGGUCUCCUUAUUUUGAGUAAACUUAUGUGUAUGACAAUUUCAAUUGUCAAUUAGGAAUUCUCAUUUGUUCCUUACUUGCAUUAUAUGAGUUGUAUAUUGUAAGUGUAUUUUGGGCCUUAGGGAGUGAGUUGACGAAUAUGUGUUAUUAUGAUAGGGCCAAAAUACUAAUACAAGUAAGAGUAGAGCAUAUUAUGAGAUAGUUUGGGAGAACUUGAUGAAAAUUGUGGUAAACUCCCUUUUUUAUGUUUUUGAGUUUAAAGAGUUGAAUAG